GCCAGCAAUCCAAACAUUCGAGGAUUGGACAGGAUAGUCGAAUCCCAAAAUAGAAAGGCAAGAAGGAACCUCUGACACUGAAUAAGCAAAGGCCCAACCAUGGCAUCAAGCAGCAACCCCUUGCUUUCUUCAAACUUCUUUGGUUCUAAAAUCCUACUUUCUCCUCCAACUCCCAAAACCACCAAAUCACCAUUUCUUUCCCCUUUCUUCUCUGCAAGAAAGACGCAAAUUGCUCAAGCUAUCCUCAAUAGAAAACAGCCC
rnacentral:misc_RNA from 1 species